rnacentral:sRNA from 1 species
GACGCGAUUGGAACGCGACCGGCUUUAAGGAAAUAAAAAUAUGAAGAAGAACGCAAAAAUUAACACUGCAAUCUGAAAAUUCAACUAUAUCGAUAUGCUCCCUUGACAAAUAAACCUGGGAGCAAUCAAAACUCAGAGGCUAGAAGCAAAAAGCGUCCAAAAUCCUAGAAACAAGAUUUGAACAGGUCACCGGAUGGAGGACUCCUGGGCUGACAAUCUGAUUCGAAUAACACUUUUGCUCGUCUGCUACUUCGUAUCGUCAGGAACAGACGAGAGUCAUUCUUGCAGACAAGCACCUUUCCUGGAAAAAAGUUCUUUUUUUUCUUUCCUGGACAAUGAAAAGUCUACAGUUAACGGUAUGUGUCCUUACGAACCUGCCAGACUCUCCCGUUCAAGUCAUUGUUUGAGCUAUGUUCAUAACUUUAACACCGCUCAUUUGGCAGACGAGUGCAUGAUCACGUCUGCUAAAAGCUUGUCAACUAAUAAAGGAAACAAAAGCAAGGCCGUUGAGGUGAAAGGUCAGACGAAGAAAACAUCCGGUGUAGUCAAAAAACUGAAGGGCUCCAAACGCCAAAGAAAGAAAAAUAAAAAGAAAAAAUUGGGAAAGAAAAAAAGACGAAGCUGACGAGAGACACGCAGAGGAUUCUGGUCUUGUUCUUAUUGCAAAGCAAGUUUCUGUAUUCUGCUAACAUCUCAUCGUGUGGUAAUACAUGGGACUCAAUAUUAGUCAUCGAUGUCUCUUUCCAUCAUCCUGGUCAUCGAUGAAUCAUCAUUCAUUUGAGUAUUGAGCUAAAGAAUCGGACAUGAAUUUUCGUUGAAUUCUAUGGAUGAUUGCAAUUUACCAAGUUUGGAAACUAAAUUCCAUCAUUAUACCUACAUGGCAUUUUCCACAUAUUUAAAAUUCCAUUAUUUCAUUUUUUUAGAGUGUAAUUUCUUGAAAUUAUGAAAAGUUGAUCUAUAAAUGACAAACCUAUGUUCGAUAAUUGACGUAGGCUACAUUUUACUAACUGCCCUUUCCUUGGUGCUUUUGUCGACGUCUCUUAUUCUGCUUGAUUUCGUCUGUAACUUCUCUCAACAACUUUGAGCAUUAA